rnacentral:misc_RNA from 1 species
AACCCCCAGCUAGGCUGGGGGUUCCGUAGAGCUUACAGCUAUAAGUCAGUUAUAUAACCCCUUUC